rnacentral:rRNA from 1 species
GACGAACGCUGGCGGCGUGCUUAACACAUGCAAGUCGAACGGAAAGGCCCUGCUUUUGUGGGGUUCUCGAGUGGCGAACGGGUGAGUAACACGUGAGUAACAUGCACUUGACUUUGGGAUAACUUCAGGAAACUGGGGCUAAUACCGGAUAGGAGCUCCUGCUGCAUGGUGGGGGUUGGAAAGUUUCGGCGGUUGGGGAUGGACUGGCGGCUUAUCAGCUGGUUGGUGGGGUAGUGGCUUACCAAGGCUUUGACGGGUAGCCGGCCUGAGAGGGUGACCGGCCACAUUGGGACUGAGAUACGGCCCAGACUCCUACGGGAGGCAGCAGUGGGGAAUAUUGCACAAUGGGCGGAAGCCUGAUGCAGCAACGCCGCGUGCGGGAUGACGGCCUUCGGGUUGUAAACCGCUUUCGCCUGUGACGAAGCGUGAGUGACGGUAAUGGGUAAAGAAGCACCGGCUAACUACGUG